rnacentral:rRNA from 1 species
AAUCAACGCUGGCGGCGUGCCUAACACAUGCAAGUCGAACGGGAAGGGGAGCAAUCCCUGAGUACAGUGGCGACCGGGUGAGUAACACGUGACUACCUACCCUUGAGUGGGGGAUAACCUCGGGAAACCGAGGCUAAUACCGCAUAAUAUCGCAAGAUCAAAGGAGCAAUCCGCUCUUGGAGGGGGUCGCGGCUGAUUAGCUAGUUGGUAGGGUAAUGGCCUACCAAGGCGAAGAUCGGAUCCGGCCUGAGAGGGCGCACGGACACACUGGAACUGAAACACGGUCCAGACUCCUACGGGAGGCAGCAGUGGGGAAUUUUGCGCAAUGGGGGAAACCCUGACGCAGCAACGCCGCGUGGAGGAUGAAGCUCCUUGGAGUGUAAACUCCUUUCGACCGGACGAUAAUGACGGUACCGGUGGAAGAAGCACCCGGCUAACUCUGUGCCAGCAGCCGC